UGGGGGAUAUUGCGCAAUGGGGGCAACCCUGACGCAGCAACGCCGCGUGAAGGAUGAAGGUUUUCGGAUUGUAAACUUCUUUUAUUAAGGACGAAACUUGACGGUACUUAAUGAAUAAGCUCCGGCUAACUACGUGCCAGCAGCCGCGGUAAUACGUAGGGAGCAAGCGUUGUCCGGAUUUACUGGGUGUAAAGGGUGCGUAGGCGGCUUUGCAAGUCAGAUGUGAAAUCUAUGGGCUCAACCCAUAAACUGCAUUUGAAACUGUAGAGCUUGAGUGAAGUAGAGGCAGGCGGAAUUCCCCGUGUAGCGGUGAAAUGCGUAGAGAUGGGGAGGAACACCAGUGGCGAAGGCGGCCUGCUGGGCUUUAACUGACGCUGAGGCACGAAAGCGUGGGUAGCAAACAGGAUUAGAUACCCUGGUAGUCCACGCUGUAAACGAUGAUUACUAGGUGUGGGGGGUCUGACCCCUUCCGUGCCGGAGUUAACACAAUAAGUAAUCCACCUGGGGAGUACGGCCGCAAGGUUGAAAUUCAAAGGAAUUGACGGGGGCCCGCACAAGCAGUGGAGUAUGUGGUUUAAUUCGAAGCAACGCGAAGAACCUUACCAGGUCUUGACAUCCAACUAACGAAGUAGAGAUACAUUAGGUGCCCUUCGGGGAAAGUUGAGACAGGUGGUGCAUGGUUGUCGUCAGCUCGUGUCGUGAGAUGUUGGGUUAAGUCCCGCAACGAGCGCAACCCUUGCUAUUAGUUGCUACGCAAGAGCACUCUAAUAGGACUGCCGUUGACAAAACGGAGGAAGGUGGGGACGACGUCAAAUCAUCAUGCCCCUUAUGACCUGGGCUACACACGUACUACAAUGGAUGUUAACAGAGGGAAGCAAGACAGCGAUGUGGAGCAAACCCCUAAAAACAUUCUCAGUUCAGAUUGCAGGCUGCAACCCGCCUGCAUGAAGAUGGAAUUGCUAGUAAUCGCGGAUCAGCAUGCCGCGGUGAAUACGUUCCC
rnacentral:rRNA from 1 species